UACGGAGGGUGCAAGCGUUGUCCGGAAUCAUUAGGCGUAAAGCGUACGCAGGCGUUUCUAUAAGUCGGUUGUUAAAUCCUUCUGCUUAACGGAAGAAAGCCAACCGAAACUAUAGAAAUUGAGAGUAGCAGGGGAAAGCGGAAUUCCUGGAGGAGCGGUGAAAUGUGUAGAUUUCAGGAAGAACGCCAAUGGUGAAGACAGCUUUCUGGGCUACUUCUGACGCUCAGGUACGAAAGCUAGGGGAGCGAACCGGAUUAGAUACCCUCGUA
rnacentral:rRNA from 1 species